AUUUGUAAAAAUAGUCGUAGUUUUUUGAGAAAGUUGGCAUUUUUAGUUAUAUUUUCUGUUUAAUCCCAACUGUGAGAUUGGAAAAUAAUUGAAAUGAUGGUUUUUUAUAAAAACUCCUCUCAAUUUUUUUUCUGGGAUUUAAAAGCAUCUUUUCCCGAUUGUUUACAAGGGUUAUGUUCUCUAUAAUUGGUUCACCUAAUUUUGAUUAGUUUUAAGUUUUGUCCUUUAAGUUUUGUCUUCUGUGCUGUAAUGAGAGAUUUCUGUUGGCCUUUCGGAUUUCAGCAUGGGAAUGUUCACUUAUUUGUCUAAUUAGAUUGCGUAUGGCUUCGAUUCUUUAUUUAAUUGUUCUGUUUGUGUUCGGGUGUGAUGAUCUAAAUUUUAUAUGUUUGGAAUUAUUCACUUAACACCAAUUUGUUACAUUCAGGUCUCCACCCCACAUUUCACAAGUUCAAAUUCCAUAGAAGUCGGUUCUGCAGAUUGUGUCUGCAAUUAGAUCAGAGAUCAACUGCUCUUUUGUUAUCAUGCGGAAGAUUGCUUUUGGGAAGGAUCUGAAGCAGUUCCUCUCUGGAUAGGAGAAACAAUGAGGAUGACACUUAUAAUUGCCCCUCCCCAUCGGCCUUCUUCAAAUUUGGAUCACAAGAAUGGAGCAACAUAGGGUGGUUCACACAAUUCCUCCUUAGAGCAAGUGGAGAUGACGGUGUGUAUAAAAAGAAAAACUUACCAGUUGCAGAGUUGGCUUCACAGUUGCAGAGUUGGCUUCAUUUCAUUCCAGUAACUCUCUAAAUAGGUCCAAGAACUCACUAAAUAGAAAUCCUCAACUGUUGGAUUCUGUCGAGAUGGGCAGAAGUUGAGUGGUGUCUUCAUCGUCGACCGACACCUGGACUGCAACAUCAUCUUCACUCACCCCAGCGUCAGCAGAUUCCACCUCCAAAUCCUCUCCGAUCCUUAUUCCCAAAAGCUCUCCCUUUGAUUUGUCAUCAGAGUUUUCCAACAAUUCCGGUCAGGUUUGCGUUGAUGUUGGUCUUAAACUAUUCCUCAGCACGUCAGGUGCCUUCUAUUUCAUGGUUAUGAGGUAGAAGACUGUUUGGGGAUGGUGGUGGAUUCUCUGAGUAUGACUGGGAUGUUGAGAAAUUGGAGCUCUUCUGGGGCCAUAUCCAUUUGGAUUUGCAGGGUCUGAUUGGAGGAAAAGAAACGAAAAAAAUUUUGGGUUUUGGAUUGAUGUGGUGUUGAUUUUAUUUAAUUUUUGUUCCUGAAUGUUUGGGUUUUUUUUUUUUUUUUUAAAUUUUUGCAUGUUUUAAUUUUUGAAUUAACACUAUUUGUUUUGUUAAUUGCAGGUUUAUAGUGUUUGCUUGAUAAAGACGGAGAAUAGUACUGUCCAAAUGAACAGAAGACCUCGAAAACUCCUUGAUGUGUUGCUUUCCUUAAUGUAUAAAGACGGAAAAAAGGGGCAAGUUGCGAAAAGGCCAAAAAAAAAAAAAAAAAAAAACAGAGAUUGGACAAGUGGAGAUGGCAAUUGUUGUGGUUCAUACAAUUCCUCCUUUUUAUUUAGAGCAAGUGGAGAUGGCUGUUUGAAUAAAAAGAAGAAUUUGGCCGGAGCGUUCGCCACCGGAGGUUAUGCAGUUGUGCAGAGUCACACAGUGGAACUUGGAUUACACAAAGCACAGCAAGCAGGUUGAUAGGUUUUGUUUUAAGGUUCCGAUUGGUAAAGCAAAAGCUCCUACCAAUUUAGCAGAGUGGACAAAGAAUUCGGGCCUUUUAUUAAUGACAUAUCAUAGGCCACUUUAAAGUUUGCUUUGUGCUGGACGUAAAAGGUUUUCUUUCAAUGAUUAGAGUAACUCCAGCGUGUGAAACCUCCCUCCAGGCAAUACAUUAUGUUAUCCACCUGGUGAACAGUAACAGCCCUAAUGAACAGUAAUCACCUUUUGCAUCUCCACUAUUGCACUUUAAUAGCCCUGGCAAUAGGCAAUAAAAUAUUAGUAUUUUUUUAUUUAUAAAAUAAUACAAAAUAAUUUUAAUUGUA